GGCGGAGGCGGAGGCGGAGGCGGCGGCCGGGAAGAACUAGAGGUAUUCCCCGGGCGGCUGGAGGACUGAGUCGAGCCGGGACCCGAGUCCUCCGGUAUCCCAGCAGCCACCGGAGGCAGUGAGGUAAUGGAGGAAGAAUGUAGGGAGUCCUCCAGUGGACCACACUCCUUCUAGCGAGCCGCGGAAACCAUAGAGAUCAGGGCUCAGCCGGAGGGCCGGCCCACUGCUGUCACGUGGUCUCCAUCCGUGCGCUUUAUUGGCUGGUGCUGGCUUUACGGGGUUGAAUUUUGGACGCUGCCUGCCAUUCGUGGGACCGAGUUUCAGGCAGCUGGAAUAAAGAGAGACAUUGGGGGAAAGCCGCGAGAAGGCCAGCGUCCCUGGCUGGGAGCAGAGCUAGCCGAGUAGGGCGCCCGGCUGUCAAACUGGCAGGUGCAGUGCACGCUGGGCCGCCCCGGAGCGGUCGCAGAGCCCGUCGGGAGUCGUAGUCCGGGACGGGCCCGCGGCAUUGUCCGCGACGCAGCUCGGGAUCCGGGUCGGGUUGUCGGCCGGGUUGCUGCCGGGCACCGUCGAGCGUUAGCCACCCAGCAUUGAGCUGCCAGCGGCUGUUCUCCCUAAGCACCCUCGGUCACGUCGCCUCGCCUCGCCUCGCCUGACCGGCCGCAGCCUUGGAUACCAGCCUUAAAUCGAGCCGACUACGGCCCAGCCCCGCCCGCGGCGAGGUGCGCGGGGUUCGGUGCCAGCCGCUCGCCCCUGGCCGGGCCAGCCUCUUGAUGCACCGGGGACGGGCGCGCCCAUCCGACUCUUCGAGGGGCGGCAGGGCCCCAUCUGUGUCUUUCGCUCUGGAGCCCCCAGCUAGAGUUGGCUUCAGCGGAAUACCUACUGUGCAGGAUUAUUCAACAAGCCGAUUGAUCACAUUCUUCAGCUCUAGCAGUGCAAAGGCUUCACUGAAAAAGAACAUUACAAAUUUUUUUUGAAAGAAAUUUGGGGGAAUCCACUGAAGACCUACAUUUCCCGGAAGGUUAACAGCCCCCUUCUCAGUUUUCCUGAUAUAAAUUUAAUUCACAGUUGGGCAGGGCAUGGUGCCUCACACCUAUAAUCCGAGCACUUUGGGAGCCCGAGGCAGGCGGAUCACCUGAGGUUAGGAGUUCAAGACCAGCCUGGGCAACAUGGUGAAACCCCGUCUCUACUAAAAAUACAAAAAUUACUACUCGGGAGGCUGAGGUAGGAGAGUCGCUUGAACCCGGGAGACAGAGGUUUCAGUGAGCCCAGAUCGCGCCACCAUACUCCAGCCUGGGCAACAGAGCGAUGCUCCAUCUUAAAAAAAAAAAAAUGAAAAUAAAAUACAAUAAAAAAUAAAAAUAAAAUUUAAUUCACAGUUGUAACCAGCCUAAAUUAAAAAUAUUUCUUAAGAAAAAGAUUGAGACUUUAUGUUUUAGAUAGUUGUGUUUUUAUGACAGAAUACCUACACACACACACACACACACACACACACACACACAGAACUUUUUCUGUUAUAUAUCAAAUCAUACUUUUGUUAGUGUGUUUAAUUUUAUUUUAUCUUUCUCUCUGUGUGUUUCUCUCUCUCAUCAAUUUAUCUAUUAUCUACCUCUUAAUCCAUCCAUUCAUCCUUCCAUUCAAUCUUCUAUUACUUUUAGUAUUUUUAAAUAAACUGCCUUGUUGCUGUGAUUUGUAUUAAUGUAGACUGGCAGAGCCUGAAAUGACAGAAAGACUUUUAUUUGCAUGGAAUCUCCUGGAAUCAGCUAAUAAUUCACUAUGGACUCUAUUUACUCAGAUUAAUAACUGUGCAGAAAUGUCAUUACCUGAAGAGCACAAAUCUGGGGACAGACAGAAUUUUAAUCAUGGGCUCUGUCAUGACUGAUUGGUGAUUUUGGUUGCUUAAAUAAUCCGGGCUCUAGUCUCCUCAAUUAUAAAACAGGGAAUAAUAAUGGACUUAACUUUAUUAUAUGUUAAGCAACAUAAAUUGCUUUGGGUAUUCAAAGAGGAUAAUUAAUUGCCGUGGAUUAGGAAUCUGAAAUAGAAGCUUGAAUUCCCAGGAGUGAAACAAAUUUAGCAAUAUUUGCAUGACUAUUGGAGAACCAGGCCACUUAACAGGUAUACGUAUGUCCCUCUGACUACCUCCUAGAUAUUUUCUGCCACGUCAGCAGUAGGCAGAGGACCAGUUGGCUUAGUGUCUAUAUUGUUUACAUGUGGCAGCUCAAACAAUGUGAUAUGAAUAUGAACUAAGGAGGGAGACACUUCACACUUAACAUCUGUUCUUCAGUUUCCCCAACAGGAUGCCUCCAAAUGUGAAAGGAAACUCAUCAAUAACAAGCUGAGCAAUGAGUCUAAACAACUGACAUUUUGGAAUAACAUAUUUGACAUUUGUGAGGUCCACUGGUUGUGGCUUAAUCAAGAAAGCCAUCAGAUAUCCACAGUAUCCAUCUUUUAGGCAUACACAUCUUUAAAUCCAUAUUUUAACGUUCAAAAUAUUAUUUCAUGGAUAUUUUGCCACACGAUUAUGCUAGUUUUUACUAUUUUCUCCCCUAGUGUGUAAAAGUACAAGAGAAUACAAAUUCCUUGGCAAGUCAGUUAUUUAGUCAUUUCAAAUUUUGAUAUUUCCAGAAGUCAUAAGAGGAUUCUUCUCUCACAGAUGUGAUUAUAAAACACAUUUGAUUUAUCAACUUUUAGACUUCUGUUUUCUACAAAUUAGCUCUCGCACAAGUGGAGAAAUAGCAUAUGUAUUUGGUACUAAGUUUCCCUCAUAAUUGUCAGAACCUCACCAUUUAUUGUUUUGUAGAAACUGGGCUUUAAAAAAAAUCAGACCAUAUGAUAAUUUUGUUAUUAAUACUCUUCUGAAAGACUAAGUGAAUGAACUAGUCAUCUAUAUUCAUUGAUUAAAAACAAAAUAAGACAAACUUAUUCCAUAGUAUAGUACUUUGGGUUUGUCUAAAAAAAAAUUCGUUUACAAAUACUAUUUCUGAGGGACAAUAGCAUUUCUCUAGGAUACAUCUAUCUACAUGCAACUGAAGAAAAUAGUUUUUAAAUUUACUUUAUCUCUUGUAGUAGUUUUAUAGCUACAUAAGAGUAUUGUAAUGCAAAAGGUACAUCAUAAAAACUGCUUUUGUUAUAUGUUGUGUGCAUUUGUAUUUGUGUAUUUACAUAUCGACAGCGUACUCACUAUUGUUCAGUAGCAUAUUUUAUGAUGAAUGAUGAAACCAGUACAAAUUACAUGUGAAUUUGACUUAUGAACUCUUCACAUCCACUACCUCAUAAACACUACAAGCUAGAGAAUGUAGGGACUUGAAUCCACAAACCACAGAUGUCAAGAUUAAUCUAUUACGUUUUGAGUACUUGAAACUGCCUGUACAAUUGAAUUUAUAGCUGUUUUUUAAAAAAGAAAAUAGAACUGAGAAGUGCUGCAGCAAUCAUACUUUGUGAUUUAAAAGAAAAUAAAUACUAUUAGUUCAUGCCGAGAAAAACAAAAACAAAAAACUAUGGGAACUUUAUUACCCUUAUCUAUACUCUCCCACCUGCAAGAAAAAAUGCCUCUCCUCACAAUGAAUAACACUAGGUAGAGGAAAUAUUUCUGCUUAGUUUUAGAAGGAAGAGAAAAAAAGAUUGUGAAACAUUCAUCUGUAAAUAAGAAUCUGAAGGAAAAGGCAAUGUGGAGGAUGAUAGGGCAUGACUUCACUGCUGGGAGGGAGAUGUAGCCUGGCAGGCUCACAGUGACUUUUUCAUAGUCAGAGCCACCUACCCAAAGGUAGAAACCAAAGCAAGUAUAAAUCAGAAAAAUAAUCCUCAGUAUAUUACAUUUAAUGUCAAAACAUACUUUGUAGAAUAUGUGAACUGCAAUCUUAUUUUGAGAGCUAAUCUAGAAUUAUGAUUAUAUUUGGAAGCCUGAUUCUGUUUGCCUCAUUUGGUCCAUUUGGUUGUACAUUAAGGCUUGAACAUAAGGUUUGUGAUAUAAAGCUGUCUUUAAAUAGGCUCCAUGACAUUUAAAGUUAUCUGCUGGGAAAUAAUCAACUUUUUCAAAUUCAUAAUAGCCUUGCUUUGGGGAAAUUAGUUUUGAUUUGAUGAGCAAAUGGAUCACUAAGGAUCACUGAGGUGGGGAGUAGUGAUGGGAAGCAGUCAUAGAAACCACUAGUUAACACAUGUCACGGCUAAUAAUAUCAGGUAUUUUGAUGCUAGUGUCAAUGAGAUCCAGCAUGCCAGUUAAUUUCAAAGAAAAUAAACAACAACAAGCACUUUGAUUGUGUUAUACAACCUGCAGUCAUUAUUUUCUAUUAGCUGUAAUCUACCUGUCUGUUUAUCCAUUGAUUGAUUCAUCAGUGUGUGUAUGUGUGUGUGUGCAUUUCAGAAUGGAAUGAGUGAUGAAAAUUAUAUUCUUUCAUGCAUAGAUAUUUGUAGAGGGCUGCUGUGUGCCAGAUAUUAAGCAAUUGCAAUUGAGUAAAAUAGUAUUUAAAAACUACUCACAGCCUUCAAGGAGCACAGCGUCGAACUAGGGAACUCAGACAAGUAAAUAGGCAAUUACAGUGUAGGAUAGUUCUGGGGAUCAGAAAACAAAACCCCCAAAUGA